UUUCAUAGCCUAGGCUGUUUUCAAACCCCUGUGCUUCACCCUGUUUUCAGCCUCCCAAGGAGCCUCCUGAGAGCAGAUGUAUGCCACCCGUGUUGGAGGAAAACUUACUUCCUUUAUGGAACCAGACUUGUGUUCCUCAUAGUUUGGAUGUGAAGCCUGCCACCCUCAGCCCAUGCUUGUAUGCGGAUGCCUUGGUUCCAGCCAGUAGUGCUUUUGAGAGAUGCUUUUGAGAGGUGUUAACCUCAAUGGAUCAGUUCAUUGA
rnacentral:lncRNA from 1 species